UAUAAUGACAGGAAGCCAAGCUCGCAAAGGAGAAAGCAAAGGCAGAAGCCGCGGCAAGAAAAGGUGGAAGUCAACAAAACUCCCCGAGCCAAUCAC
rnacentral:snRNA from 1 species